rnacentral:rRNA from 1 species
CCUACGGGUGACAGCAGUGAGGAAUAUUGGUCAAUGGGCGAGAGCCUGAACCAGCCAAGUCGCGUGAAGGAUGACGGCCCUACGGGUUGUAAACUUCUUUUGUCCGGGAGCAAUUGGCUCCACGCGUGGGCUUAGCGAGAGUACGUGAAGAAAAAGCAUCGGUUAACUCCGUGCCAGCAGCCGCGGUAAUACGGAGGAUGCGAGCGUUAUCCGGUUUUAUUGGGUUUAAGGGGUGCGUAGGCGGAAUAUCAGGUCAGCGGUAAAAGUUCGGGGCUAAACCCCGUCGUGCCGUUGAAACUGAUGUUCUUGAGUGGGCGGAAAGCAUGUGGAAUGCGUGGUGUAGCGGUGAAAUGCAUAGAUAUCACGCAGAACUCCGAUUGCGAAGGCAGCAUGCCGGCGCCCAACUGACGCUGAAGCACGAAAGCGUGGGUAUCGAACAGGAUUAGAUACCCGUGUAGUC